GUCCAUAAGUCAUAAAAGGGUCAAGUUUGAAGACCCCUGCCCUAUACCAUUUCUGAUAGAGGGCAGUCCACUCUCUUCUUGACAGCCUCCAGCGAUGAAGCUCCCACAACUUCUUUUAUAUGUGUGCUUGUAUAGCUUACAACUGGCCAAAAAGCCUCCCUCCCUCCACCUCAAUUUUUGGACCCAAUUCGAUUAAUUUAAUCCAUUUAAUUCCAGGGGAGCAGCCUCAGCCUGGUUGUGGGGAAGAGAAAUUGUUUUUUUUUAAAAAAGGAAAAAAAAAUGUGACCUUUCCAGUACUGGCAAGGUGGUUUCAGACAACAUCUGCAUGAGGAAUAGAGGAUACAUUGAUUUAACUAACCAACCAACUAAAGAUACGCCCAGUAACUUCUCAAAAAUGAAAAUGUUAUGUUUAAAACGGGGAUGUGAUUUUUAUCAGAGCUGGGGAAAACUAGCUUCAGUGGCUUAGGGUUUCUAGCAAUUGUUGACUCAAUAGAUUUAGAGACGGUCCUGAACCCUUGUUUUAAUGGUUUAUGAUUAAUAUAGCUAGUCCUUGACUUACAACAGUUCAUUUGGUGACCGUUCGAAGUUACAGUGGCAGUGAGAAAAGGGACUGAUGACCAUUUUUCACACUUAGGAACAUUGCAGUAUUGUGAUUUACAUUCAGAUGCUUGGCAACUGACUUGUAUUUAUGACGGUCAAGGUCACGUGUCACAUCAUCCCCUUCUGACGAGCAAAGUCAAUGGGGAAGGCAGAUUCACUUAACAACCGUGUUACUAAUUUAACCACUGCAGUGAUUCACUUAACAAAUGUGGCCAGAAAAGUUCGUAAAAUGGGGCAAAAACUCACUUAACACAUUUCUCCCUUAGCAACAUACAUUUUGGGCUCAACUGCGAUCGUAAGUCAAGGACCACCGUAUAGUCACUGCACAAAGUCACUGCACGUUUUGCAAAGCUAGUACCUGUAGUUUGUAGAGAGUAUUUUUGUUCAGCGUGGAGUUGUAGGCAGGCAACCUGUACUUCUUCAGAUGUUGCUGAAUCCACAGCUUCCAGCUUCCAAGAAAUCAGGGUCUAACUAACGAGAGCCUGGAAAAUGGUUGUUCAGCAACAUCUGAGCACCACAGGUUACGUAGCCUUGCUGAAAAGAGCUUGGCUGAAUUUCCUAAAUUCCCAACAUGGCUUUAUGGUUUAAGGCUGUCUGCACAUUGCACAUAGCUAGGUAACACACUUAUUUUUUUUUUCUUCAAACAAUUGACCGCCUUCUGUCAACAUGAAGGAGCAAUUCCUUGUUUGUAUUUGCUGUACUAUAAAUUGACUUUUUCCUCCCACCCUUCCAGGGUUUAAUGGACUCUUUGCCCUGGACUUUCUCAACCUCAAAGCUGUUCAAUGGUUGUUUGUUGACACAACGUACAUGCCUGUCCUGAGAAAGUUUGGUUCUCAAGGCCUUUAAUCAAUUAACUGACCAAUUAACUGAUUAAUGGAGCAUUGCAAGACGACAAUCCAGGCAACACUGGGUGCAACAAGCAGAUGGUAAAUAUGAAAAACUGCCUUAGAAAAAAGAAUCACACUGACAAAGAGCUUGAACGAAAAUCUGGAACUUUGUUGCUAUAUAUGUUGACAGUGGUGAGAAUCUUAAAUACACAAAGAUGGAAAGAUACAUUCAUUCCCACAAUGGAAGCUUGGAUGGUAAAGGUGAUGGAAUUAGCAGAGAUUAGUUAAAGAAAAGAAUUUAUCUAGUUUUGUUUCUGCUUGGAAACUUCUGGACUUUUUGCUUGAAACUGAAAAAAAUGAAACUUUGAUUCAAAUGAUUCCAUUAUUGUAAGAAGUGACUUACAUGCUAUGAAACAUAAAGCAAAAGGUUGAGGUUGCAA